rnacentral:other from 1 species
CGGUUGCUGUGGCGUGCGAGAGGUACUUGCAUCCCUGGGACCGUAUCAUCUCUCUCGGGAGCUGGCUCUGUUCCGGAUCGUGGUCUGGAACACCUGGCGCCCACCUAGUCGUGCUAGGGUUCGAGAGGAUGGGUAUGCCUUCCGGCGCAUAUGGCCCGCCC